GAAGUGCGAUAAGCAUUGCGAAUUGCAGAACCGUGAGUCAUCAGAUUUUUGAACGCAACUGGCGCCGGCUGUUCCCAGUCGGCAUGCUUGUUUCAGUGUCUUUUUAUCUCCUAACCUAAAUCAUAAUGCGAGAGAUACCCUUCUCUUGCUAAGCAUGAAAGCACUCUACGCUCUGCGAGCGGCUUCGACUUGUCGAGGGUCGCACUCAAUGCAGCAGUCACAUUGCUCACAAUGUGAACUCAUUGAGAGCUGAGGUAGUGCAACUUCGGUUGCCAGUGCUUAGACACUCAAACUUACUUGUAUCUGAAAUCAAGCAGGACCACCCGCUGAACUUAA
rnacentral:misc_RNA from 1 species